rnacentral:lncRNA from 1 species
CCACACCUAUAAUACCACCCAUAACCCAUCUGUCUAUUACCACACCUAUAAUACUACCCAUAAUCCAUCUGUCUAGUAUCACACCUAUAAUACUACCCAUAACCCAUCUUUCUAGUACCACACCUGUAAUACUAACCCAUCUGUCCAGUACCACACCUAUAAAUCUAACCCAUAUGUCCAGUACCACACCUAUAAUACUAACCCAUCGGUCCAGUACCACACCUAUAAUACUAACCCAUCUGUCCAGUACCACACCUAUAAUACUAACCCAUUUUUCCAGUACCACACCUAUAUUACUAACCCAUCUGUCCAGUACCACACGUAUAAUACUGCCCAUAACCCAUCUGUCUAGUACCACACCUGUAAUACUAACCCAUCUGUCCAGUACCACACCUAUAAUACUAACCCAUCUGUCCAGUACCACACCUAUAAUACUAACCCAUCUGUCCAGUACCACACCUAUAAUACUAAACCAUCUGUCCAGUACCACACCUAUAAUACUACCCAUGACCCAUCUGUCUAGUACAACACCUAUAAUACUAACCCAUCUGUCCAGUACCACACCUAUAAUACUACCCAUAACCCAUCUGUCUAGUACCACACCUAUAAUACUAACCCAUCUGUCCAGAACCACACCUAUAAUACUAACCCAUCUUUCUGGUACCACACCUAUAAUACUACCCAUAACCCAUCUGUCUAGUACCACACCUUUAAUACUAACCCAUCUGUCUAGUACCACACCUAUUAUACUACCCAUAACCCAUCUGUCUAGUACCACACCUAUAAUACUACCUAUAACCCAUCUGUCUAGUACCACACCUAUAAUACUAACCCAUCUGUGCAGUACCACACCUAUAAUACUAACCCAUCUGUCUAGUUCCACAUCUAUAAUACUACCCAUAACCCAUCUGUCCAGUACCACACCUAUAAUACUAAUCCAUCUGUCUAUUACCACACCUAUAAUACUAACCCAUCUGUCCAGUAACACACCUAUAAUACUAACCAUAACCCAUCUGUCUAGUACCACACCUAUAAUACUACCCAUCUGUCCAGUACCACACCUAUAAUACUAACCCAUCUGUCUAGUACCACACCUAUAAUACUACCCAUAACCCAUCAUUCUAGUACCACACCUAUAAUACUACCCAUAACCCAUCUGUCUAUUACCACACCUAUAAUACUACCCAUAAUCCAUCUUUCUAGUACCACACCUGUAAUACUAACCCAUCUGUCCAGUACCACACCUAUAAAUCUAACCCAUAUGUCCAGUACCACACCUAUAAUACUAACCCAUCGGUCCAGUACCACACCUUUAAUACUAACCCAUCUGUCCAGUACCACACCUAUAAUACUAACCCAUUUUUCCAGUACCACACCUAUAUUACUAACCCAUCUGUCCAGUACCACACGUAUAAUACUACCCAUAACCCAUCUGUCUAGUACCACACCUGUAAUACUAACCCAUCUGUCCAGUACCACACCUAUAAUACUAACCCAUCUGUCCAGUACCACACCUAUAAUACUAACCCAUCUGUCCAGUACCACACCUAUAAUACUAAACCAUCUGUCCAGUACCACACCUAUAAUACUACCCAUGAACCAUCUGUCUAGUACAACACCUAUAAUACUAACCCAUCUGUCCAGUACCACACCUAUAAUACUACCCAUAACCCAUCUGUCUAGUACCACACCUAUAAUACUAACCCAUCUGUCCAGAACCACACCUAAAAUACUAACCCAUCUUUCUGGUACCACACCUAUAAUACUACCCAUAACCCAUCUGUCUAGUACCACACCUAUUAUACUACCCAUAACCCAUCUGUCUAGUACCACACCUAUAAUACUAACCCAUCUGUCCAGUACCACACCUAUAAUACUACCUAUAACCCAUCUGUCUAGUACCACACCUAUAAAACUAACCCAUCUGUGCAGUACCACACCUAUAAUACUAACCCAUCUGUCUAGUUCCACAUCUAUAAUACUACCCAUAACCCAUCUGUCCAGUACCACACCUAUAAUACUAAUCCAUCUGUCUAUUACCACACCUAUAAUACUAAUCCAUCUGUCUAGUACCACACCUAUAAUACUAACCCAUCUGUCCAAUACCACACCUAUAAUACUAACCCAUCUAUCUAGUACCACACCUAUAAUACUAACCCAUCUGUCCAGUACCACACCUAUAAUACUACCAAUAACCCAUCUGUCCAGUACCACACCUAUAAUACUACCCAUAACCCAUCUGUCCAGUACCACACCUGUAAUACUAACCCAUCUGUCCAGUACCACACCUAUAAGACUACCCAUAACCCAUCUGUCUACUACCACACCUAUAAUACUAACCCAAUUUCAAAUCUGCUGUCAGACUUUCUAGAAUAAAUAACAAUAAAAAUUAUAUUCCUUAAUCAAUCUUUCUGCUACCAGACGAUGAAUGGAGGGAUCUCUGAAACCAGGAUAGAGAAGAGGAUUGUCAUCUCCAGAGAAGCAGGAGAUUUUGACCAUGAUCAGGAGUAAAGACAGUUCUCUAUCCCCCUGGUAUAAGGACUCGCCCUCCAACCUCCAGCGUCAUGAUGGACUUCAUUACAUUACUGUGCUGCCUGCUGGGCCUGUUAGAACUACAGUAGAGACUAUAGAGCCAGCCUAUUGUUCUACAGACAGACUCUGCUCCAUAGAAAUAUAAUUUAUAGAACGGGCCUCCCCAUUCAAGUCAAUGAUGGCAUAAGAAGAUUGUAAUUCUAUGCUUUGCUUUCUGUGGGCCCCGAUCCAUGUGCUUAACUUGGACUUUGUCUAAAUCACCCUGUUGAUGUCUCAAUGCGACGAAAAAAAGUAUAAUGAUGUGGUUAGAGUUUAACAUUCCUAUCGUCAGUCUCAUCCGUGAUUAUCAACAUCAAUAUUGCAUGAGCAAAACUAAGCAGUUUAGCAUUAUUAUGAAAAAUAUUUAUAUCAGAUUACUAAUCCCAUACUCUCAGAUUAUACACAAUUAUAUCAGAUUACUACUCCCAUAGUCUCAGAUUAUAAACAAUUAUAUCAGAUUACUAAUCCCAUACUCUCAGAUAAUAAACAAUUAUAUCAGAUUACUAAUCCCAAACUGUCAUAUGGUAAACAAUGAUAUCAGAUUACUAAUCCCAUACUGUCACAUGAUAAACAAACAGGUUAAUUUAUCCACCCACCUCCACACUGAACUAUACAAUAGGUCAAAAUGACUGAUUCAUUCACCGCCUUAUUACCGAUUUUGGAUGAGUUUUAAAAUGAUAAUUUAAUCAGUAAUUAUUAUAGCAGCAUUGGUUUUUUUAUUUAUGAAAUAAAAAAAAACAUCACUCCAAAUGGGUCAACUGCUGUCGGCUGUUUGUGACAUAUUAGAGCACACGACAUUAUAAUAACCUAGCAAAUAGAGCCAACAUCUUCUCCACUCCAUCACACCUCAGAGAUUUACAGUUAAAAAUAGAAAUAUAUUAGUUCAACAUGGACAAGUACUGUGCUUUCCUAGGCAACAAAAAAAUACAAACAAAUGCAGAUUAUAUCUUCUAUAUUCAGUUACAAAUUAUUUAAUUUUUUUUUCUUUUUUUUCCCCAUCCUCCAUGGAUCAAAUGAUUCAGCUAUUUGAAUCAUUGAUUUGAAUCAUUGAUUUGAAUCAUUUAAAUUAUAGAUUUGAAUCAUUUGAUAUCAUAUUUGAAUAAUUUAUUUUAAUUAUUGAUUUUAAUCAUUUGAUUCAGCAUAUUUGAGACAGCCUGCGUGCCAGUCUCUUUGUGCUCUUGCCAACUCCUUAUCACUAAUUGCUUGGCAUGACAAUAAUUGAGUUGGUAUGAUAGCACAAACAGUCUUGCACCCAGGCUACAUUUGAGACAGCCCAAGUGCCAGUCUAGCACCCAGGCUGUAUUUGAGAUGGUAUGUGUGCCAGUCUAGCACCCAGGCUGUAUUUGAGAUUUCCCCCACACUAUGGUUAAAGUAACUGUCCAGGGAAAAUCUCACUUUUAAAAGUUCAUUUUCUGUUAACUCAUACCCAAACAAUGUUGUUGACUCAUCCUAUACCGGCGCGGCAGGUAGCCUAGUGGUUGGAGCGUUGGACUAGUAACCAAAAGGUUGCAAGAUUGAAUCCCUGAGCUGACAAGGUAAAAAUCUGUCCUUCUGCCCCUGAACAAGGCAGUUAACCCAUUGUUCCUAGGACGUCACUGAAAAUAAGAAUUUCUUCUUCUUGCCUAGUUAAAUGAAUAAAAAAUAUACUGUACUUGUAUUUGUGCCCAUAAAUUGGUGAUAAAAAAAUAAAAGAAAUAAAAAACAAUCCACCUCAAACUUGCAUCUCAGACUGUUUCAAAAAUACUUGCUAUUUCCUCAGAGGAUGAUGUCAUCCUCUUGAGGAGGAUGAGCUGGCCAAUCAGCAGUCUAUUUGCAUUAAUAUUCUGUAGUUGGGGUACGCCCACAACAUUCCAAAAAAAGAAAAGAUACUUUUUAACAUACUUAAUAUUUUUUUUUUUAUGGAACAAAAACAAUUUCCUUCAUCUUGUAAUUAAUUAUAGGUCAUAUUUCAUAGAAAUCUGGAAACACUGGACAGUUAGUUACAGUUACACUUUAAGUUUAAGGUUAGGGGAGGAGAAACCAAUCCUAGAUGUGUACCUAGGGUAAACUUCACCCCAAAGCCAGUUUUGUUAGUAUAGUUUCUGCAAUACAACACAGCUACAACUAUUCACGUACAGUGAUGUUCCAGACUCAACAGAAAAUGAAAUAAUACAAAGUGGCAAAUGCAUAUGAUUGUGAUUUUAUUUUGUCAUUUUCUUUUUUAAUAAAAUAUUGAUUAUAUUAUAA